rnacentral:rRNA from 1 species
UACGUAGGUGGCAAGCGUUAUCCGGAAUUAUUGGGCGUAAAGCGCGCGCAGGCGGUCCUUUAAGUCUGCUGUGAAAGCCCACGGCUCAACCGUGGAGGGUCAUUGGAAACUGGGGGACUUGAGUGCAGAAGAGGAGAGCGGAAUUCCACGUGUAGCGGUGAAAUGCGUAGAGAUGUGGAGGAACACCAGUGGCGAAGGCGGCUCUCUGGUCUGUAACUGACGCUGAGGCGCGAAAGCGUGGGGAGCAAACAGG